rnacentral:ncRNA from 1 species
AAACUGUUCGCAGUUGCUACCAUAAGCCGUAGUUAACUCUGCGCCUAAAAGCAGUCCGAUAAGGGUGAUGUGGUGUGACCUUAAAUGCUAGUCCGACCGGGGUGAUCCAUUUUGGACACCACCCUGCCGGGCGACACCCUCAAAUUGUUCGGGGAAGCCCUAAAGCUCCGUCCUACCAAGCCAUGCGUUGAAAGACCGUGGCGGCCCGGUUAAUGGCCUGGGGUAUGGUAAUAACGGCCGGAGAUGCUACAAUGGGUCAUCCGCAGGCAAACACCCGCCCUCUUUCACCUGGAAAGAGAGGGUGUAGGUUCAGAGACUAAAUGGGGGUGGGUUUGGAGACGGUUACUCACCSMAGUCACCCUAAACGUAAGACCAAUUUNCUGGGUNANCCCCAAGNUUANGAUNUUGCCCCACCCCCCCGGGGAAACUCGGGGUAGCACUUNCUGUUAGUAGGUCNCAAAAAU